rnacentral:rRNA from 1 species
AAUCAACGCUGGCGGCGUGCCUAACACAUGCAAGUCGAACGCGAGAGGGGCUUCGGCCCCGAUUGAGUGGCGAACGGGUGAGUAACGCGUGGGUGACCUACCUUCGAGUGGGGGAUAACGUCCCGAAAGGGACGCUAAUACCGCAUAACAUCCUGCUUUUGAAUGGGUGGAGAUCAAAGCCGGGGAUCGCAAGACCUGGCGCUUGAUGAGGGGCCCGCGUCUGAUUAGCUAGUUGGGAGGUACGCCA